ensembl:miRNA
CUUACAUCAUCAAGUCUGAGAGGCUGAGGCUCGUCAACAGCAGCUCCGCUUUGGCUCUGACGGUGGUCUUCGGAGUUUGAAGCCCUUACCGCCAGAUGGCGGGUUGGCGUCGGUGGACGGAAU